rnacentral:rRNA from 1 species
AGAUUGAACGCUGGCGGCAUGCCUAACACAUGCAAGUCGAACGGGAGUAGCAAUACUCUAGUGGCGGACGGGUGAGGAAUACGUAGGAAUUUGCCCUUAAGUGGGGGAUAACCCGGGGAAACCCGGAUUAAUACCGCAUGACCUCGAAAGAGCAAGGGUGGGGGAUCGCAAGACCUCACGCUUUUGGAGAAGCCUACGUCGGAUUAGCUAGGUUGGUGAGGUAAUGGCUCACCAAGGCGACGAUCCGUAACUGGUCUGAGAGGAUGAUCAGUCACA